rnacentral:tRNA from 1 species
GUGAAUAUAGUCUAAACUAAGACAUCAGACCGUGAACCUGAAAAUAGAAGCCCACCCC